GCCGCCGUAGCUCAGCCUUGGCAGAGCGCCGGACUCAUAAUCCGGAGGUCCCGGGUUCAAAUCCCGGCGGCGGCACCA
rnacentral:tRNA from 1 species